AUGGAUUGCCACCUCUUCCACGGGGAGGAGCAGCGGCUGGCGGUGUCCCGCGAGGCGGCCUCGGUCGCCGUGGACACGUGCAUGGUGGCCGCCGCGGUGACAGGCGCGUCGCUGCUUGCGUGGUGGUCCGUGGCGUUCCACCCGUCCAACAGCCGGCUGUGGAUGGUGCCCGUCGGCCUCGUGCUGGCAUGCACCCCGGCCGUCGUCUGCCUCGCGCUCACCCUUUCGGCCGAGCCGCGCGUGCAAGACGCCGGUGCGAAGACGGCGCCGUUGUCAGCCGUGGUCGUGGAGAUGUAG
rnacentral:rRNA from 1 species